rnacentral:rRNA from 1 species
UCCGGAGGGUGCGAGCGUUGUCCGGAAUCACUGGGCGUAAAGGGCGCGUAGGCGGCCUGAUAAGUAGGGGGUGAAAUCCUGCGGCUUAACCGCAGGGCUGCCUUCUAAACUGUCAGGCUAGAGCACGGUAGAGGCAGAUGGAAUUCCCGGUGUAGCGGUGGAAUGCGUAGAGAUCGGGAAGAACAUCAGUGGCGAAGGCGGUCUGCUGGGCCGUUGCUGACGCUGAGGCGCGACAGCGUGGGGAGCAAACAGG